rnacentral:tRNA from 1 species
GACCGUAGCUCAACUGGUGGGAGCACCGAAGUUCCGCUUUGGAGGUCGCGAGUUCAAGUCUCGUCGGCCA